AACGGACGCUGGCGGCAGGCCUAACACAUGCAAGUCGAGCGAGGACUUCGGUCCUAGCGGCGGACGGGUGAGUAACGCGUGGGAACGUGCCCUUUGCUACGGAAUAGCCCCGGGAAACUGGGAGUAAUACCGUAUGUGCCCUUCGGGGGAAAGAUUUAUCGGCAAAGGAUCGGCCGGCGUUGGAUUAGGUAGUUGGUGGGGUAAUGGCCUACCAAGCCGACGAUCCAUAGCUGGUUUGAGAGGAUGAUCAGCCCAACUGGGACUGAGACACGGCCCAGACUCCUACGGGAGGCAGCAGUGGGGAAUCUUAGACAAUGGGCGCAAGCCUGAUCUAGCCAUGCCGCGUGAGCGAUGAAGGCCUUAGGGUUGUAAAGCUCUUUCAGUGGGGAAGAUAAUGACGGUACCCACAGAAGAAGCCCCGGCUAACUCCGUGCCAGCAGCCGCAGUAACAC
rnacentral:rRNA from 1 species